UGGGGAAUUUUGGACAAUGGGGGCAACCCUGAUCCAGCAAUGCCGCGUGUGUGAAGAAGGCCUUCGGGUUGUAAAGCACUUUUGUCCGGAAAGAAAUCGCGCUGGUUAAUACCUGGCGUGGAUGACGGUACCGGAAGAAUAAGCACCGGCUAACUACGUGCCAGCAGCCGCGGUAAUACGUAGGGUGCGAGCGUUAAUCGGAAUUACUGGGCGUAAAGCGUGCGCAGGCGGUUUUGUAAGACAGGCGUGAAAUCCCCGGGCUUAACCUGGGAAUUGCGCUUGUGACUGCAAGGCUAGAAUGCGUCAGAGGGGGGUAGAAUUCCACGUGUAGCAGUGAAAUGCGUAGAGAUGUGGAGGAAUACCGAUGGCGAAGGCAGCCCCCUGGGACGUGACUGACGCUCAUGCACGAAAGCGUGGGGAGCAAACAGGAUUAGAUACCCUGGUAGUCCACGCCCUAAACGAUGUCAACUAGUUGUUGGGGAUUCAUUUUCUCAGUAACGUAGCUAACGCGUGAAGUUGACCGCCUGGGGAGUACGGUCGCAAGAUUA
rnacentral:rRNA from 1 species